UCCCUGGUGGCUCAGACGGUAAAGCGCCUGCCUACAAUACGGGAGACCCAGGUUCAAUCCCUGGGUUGGGAA
rfam:Ovis aries breed Texel chromosome 2, whole genome shotgun sequence.